ACAAACAACCGUGUGCUAGAAAUAUAAAUACCUAAUUGAUAAAUUAUAAAAAUGGAAGGUAAAAACCACCAACGGCACCCAAUUUUACAUGUGACGAAAGUAUGCUUUUAUGUAACCUCGUAGACAAAUAUAAUUUCAUAAUUGAAAAUAAAAAAACUGAUGGUUAGACCGUAGCCGAAAAACAGAAGGCUUGGAAGAUGCUGAGUAAAGAAUAAUAUAACGCCAACACCACUUAUGUACCCAGAACUACUGAGAAUUUACUGGUAGGUACAAAAACCUGAAAACAAAGACGAAAACAGCACUCAAGUGAAAAAAUGCAGAUCUCAAAUAUACCUAGAUAGCAAAGUUUUACACGCGUCUGUAGUUCAGACAGUGGAGUGGAGCUCCAUGGACAAGACUGGGAAACGGUGUCCCCCCAGAGGAAUGCCAAACAACAUUCAAUAUUUUAAGUGAAGAAGCGAAACAAUCAUCAAGCAAAAUAAAACAACAAGCCAUAUUUUAAGAUUUAGGUAUAUAAUAUACAGUGGUAAUUAAUAAUAAUAAACAUGUUUUUAAAUCAACUGGUGUUUGGUACUGGUGUCGCUAUAACCUUGCAAAAUAGUUAUUGAUCAGCGAAGUUCUUGCAUUGUUCCCAGACUGUAAGGCACGAGAAGGUUGGUCUAUAUACAUUGUUGUGGUAUUCUUUGUAAGACGAAAGCUUUUAAUAAAUUCAUCAUCUCGAUAAGCACGAAACAAAUCUGUUAUUUUAGUAGUUAACCCUCCUAUAAAAGUAAGGGGUAUUCAAAUAUUCAAUCAUUUCUUUAUC